CCUACGGGUGGCAGCAGUGAGGAAUCUUGCGCAAUGGGGGGAACCCUGACGCAGCAACGCCGCGUGAGUGAAGAAGGCCUUCGGGUUGUAAAGCUCUGUCAAGUGGGAAGAAAUACUCGGUGCUAAUAUCGCCGGGGACUGACGGUACCACUAAAGGAAGCACCGGCUAACUCCGUGCCAGCAGCCGCGGUAAGACGGAGGGUGCAAGCGUUGUUCGGAAUUACUGGGCGUAAAGAGCGUGUAGGCGGUUAAUUAAGUCGGAGGUGAAAGCCCCUGGCUUAACCAGGUAAGUGCAUCCGAAACUGGUUGACUUGAGUACGGGAGAGGAGAGUGGAAUUCCUGGAGUAGAGGUGAAAUUCGUAGAUCUCAGGAGGAACACCGGGGGCGAAGGCGACUCUCUGAACCGAUACUGACGCUGAGACGCGAAAGCGUGGGGAGCAAACAGGAUUAGAUACCC
rnacentral:rRNA from 1 species